AAAAAAAAAAAAAAAUUAUUUUUGUUGUCAGGGGUACCACAAAACUUUUUAGGUAUAAUUCAUGUGUUAGUUUAUGUAUUCAGCCCUCUAUUUUGCUUAAAAUUGCACACAAAAUUUUCACUUAUUUUUUUCCACUAAUUUGAGGUGUCAAACCUAUGCCUGAGUAUCUUUGUAAUACUUGGGUGCUCAAAAAUAAAUUGAUGAGAUGAAGUAACUAUACUUGAUAUGAACAACUGCAAACUGCAUGUCAAAGCUUAUGUGGUAUAUAGGAAACCUUUCUUGUGUCCACUUUCUCGAACACGCGUAAUAUUUGUUCACCUGCUGCCUGUUAUCAAUCAUUUUCUUUUUUUUCUUUUUUUAAUGGGACAAAAGUUCAAUUUGGCCCCGUAUAUGGCACAAAGGCUCAAUUAGACACAAAUAAUUUUUGUGGCCAAAUUGAUAUUAGACUUGGCAAAUUUGAUCAAUUUUUGUAUCAAUUUGACACAAAUUUGGAAUUUGAGACACACAACACAAGAGAGUUGCAUGAGAUCUAGCAUAUUGGAAUGACAAAUUACGUUUUUGUCCUUGAUACUUUAUGAAAAUAAUUACGUCAUUUUUUCAAGAUUUUUUUUAAAAUAAUAUUUUUUUCAAAGAAUAUUUUCAAAAUGUGUUGGAAUUGUUGAAUAUUAUUGAAUUUUUUUUUUAUUUUAAUUUUCAAUUUUAAGGUGAAAUUGAGAGACUAAAAAAAUGAAUUGAUAUUUUGUUAUUUUUAUUUUCAAAAUUUUUGUCAUUUUUGUUGUUUUUUUGGGAGGGAAGGCAUAGAGAAGGAUGUGGUAAAGGAGAGCAAUUUGGGAGAUAAAGAGCAACCAAAUUGUGGCUUUUAUUAACCUGGGGAACUAAAUUGUAAAAUGCCAAAUUUGAUAUAGGAUGCUUGUGACACACAUACCAUUUUUUUGUCAAAUUGAUCCAAUUUGGAAAGUUCAUUGUCCAUUUGCCCAUGAGUUAUUUUUACAUCUAAUUGAGCCUUGGUGAUGAAUAAGAAGGCCAAAUUGGCCUUUAAUUCUUUUUACAUGUGGCUUAUCUAGGGUGUGGAUUUGAUUCAUUCUCAGUGGGGCGCUUGCCCCCAGUCUUGGCCCAUUAAAUGGAUGAUUCAUGAGGCCCAAUGAAUAUCAUUCCCAGGUCCCCCUAUGAUCAGUAGGGAUGCGACUGACCUGGAGUUUUAAAAAUUGCCCAUUAGUGGCGUAGCAUGUCCUCUUUAUGUCCUAAAUCCUUGCUGUCAUGAUCUGUGUGCUAUACUUUAGUGAGAGAGUUCGACAUGUAUUUUCUGCUAUAUUUAAGACAAAUGUAAAGAACAAAACCAAUUUAACAUGUUUUAAUUGAUUUCAAUAGGAAAUGCAUUUCUUUUUAAGCAAUUUUAAACAUGUUUUUUGAUACUAGAAGUUUCUUGUUGUAUCCUUUUAAUGAAAAUGCAAGUACGUUUCCUCUGGUGAAGCCUUCAAUUUAAUGAGGGAAAACUUUUUGUAAAAUUUUGGGGAAAUGCUUCCCUUUUCUUUACUAUACUUUUUUUUUCCUGUUAAAUCAUUGGAAUGUGUCUGUACUUUUAGUAAAGGGACUUGCAAUGCUUUUUAAGUAUUUAUUUCUGCUUCUGAGAUAUUGUUGGCUCUAGUAAUUGCAUGAUUGUUUUUCUCAGUUCACCAUGUGAAUUGCACAUGCUAUUGAUUUGAGUCACCAUUCUUCUUGCUUCUCAAAUGGAUAGCUGGGGUUCAUAGCCCCGCCCCUGCCUGUAAGAUUUUUCAACUUUGAUGACUUGAUGAUACAUUUUUUAGGAUGGGAGAUGAGAAAAACAGUUAACAUAAGUUGGUGGACUAAAAGUGACUUUGAUCAUAAACAAACAAAACUAACUCAAGUUCUUCAAGGGUAGGGUUGGUUAUAAUGGCUAAUAAAUUGUUUUUGGAUAAAAGUUUAAAAACUGGCUGUCGUUAUACUUAAUUUGAGGCCUAAUUUGCCAACCCCAGCUGAGUUAGAUCUUUGAAUGUAAGCCCUUGAUUAACACUUCAGUGAUUCCUGACCAAAAAGAAUGGAUUUGGUAGCGCCACUUUUUCCCGCAGUCAUUUCCUUCUCAGGGAACAACUCGUGUUACCGAUUGACAUGUAAACCAACUAACGAAAGUGUCAUUGUUUGGCUGCAGUGAAUCCCCUUGCAUUGGCCAAUCCAGCUGAUUGUACAGAUAUGCCGUUUGGUAGGCCGGCGCUCCCACCUCCAUCAUCCUAUCAGGCCCCUAUUUCUGAUCCGUUUGAUCGACCAGUAAAGAAGCAAGCAAGGAGAAUACCUUUUUAACAUAUGUACAGCAGGUUCGAAAUACAAUCGGUGCAGAUAUGGUUGCGACUUGUGAGCUUACCCAUAGUCUUUUUGGUGACUGCAUUUGUAUUUUGCUCAAAUGUUUUGUCUUAAAAUACUACUAUAUUUUUUGAGCAUAGGCUUCUGUGGAGCCUUUGCAUGUUAGGGUGACGUUUUUUGAGCAAAGGCUUCUGAGAGGCCUCUGCAUAGAAGAAAGAGGAACAUGGUGGAAGGUAAUGCAUAUUUGUUUGUCUGGAAU
rnacentral:misc_RNA from 1 species